AACCUUACCUGGCCUUGACAUACUAAGAACUUUCCAGAGAUGGAUUGGUGCCUUCGGGAACUUAGAUACAGGUGCUGCAUGGCUGUCGUCAGCUCGUGUCGUGAGAUGUUGGGUUAAGUCCCGCAACGAGCGCAACCCUUUUCCUUAUUUGCCAGCGGGUUAAGCCGGGAACUUUAAGGAUACUGCCAGUGACAAACUGGAGGAAGGCGGGGACGACGUCAAGUCAUCAUGGCCCUUACGGCCAGGGCUACACACGUGCUACAAUGGUCGGUACAAAGGGUUGCUACCUCGCGAGAGGAUGCUAAUCUCAAAAAGCCGAUCGUAGUCCGGAUCGCAGUCUGCAACUCGACUGCGUGAAGUCGGAAUCGCUAGUAAUCGCGGAUCAGAAUGCCGCGGUGAAUACGUUCCCGGGCCUUGUACACACCGCCCGUCACACCGUGGGAGUUUGUUGCACCAGAAGUAGGUAGUCUAACCGCAAGGAGGACGCUUACCACGGUGUGGCCGAUGACUGGGGUGAAGUCGUAACAAGGUAAGCGUAGAUGA
rnacentral:rRNA from 1 species